AGCCCGGUGGUGUAGCGGCAAGCAUAGCGCGGCUCCCCCCCCCGAGGCCGGGGUUCGAAUCCCCGCCGGGCUACCA
rnacentral:tRNA from 1 species